GAUCUCCUGGAUGUUGUUGUCAGCGAUGAGAAGUUUCCGCACGUCCAGCGGGAAUGGGCUGGGGACUCGGGGAAGCCCUUGGUCCCGGCAGUCGAUGGUGUGGUAGUCCAUGCAGCUACAGACGGAGGGGCAGAGGUGCCCCGAGGGUAAGAAGAGCAGGCAGAGAAAGAGCAAAGGAGGUAGGCAGCAGAGCGGGGGACAUGGCCACAUCGUCAGGCACAAGCCAAGUGGGGGGAAGCUCCUGCUGCUAGGAGAACGGCAUUUUUCGUCGCCGCCGCUGUUCAGUAGCAGUACCCGUGUGUUGAAGAGAUGGAGCGUGCGUGCGUGGCUUGGAAGUGUGUUGUUUUAUCCGAGAGAUCACAUAUCGUAGAUCAGAUAGCAGCAGGCUAAAGAGGAGGCAGGGAAGAGAGAGAGAGAGAGAGAGAGAGGGAGACUAGUGGAGAGGGGGGGAGGAGAUGAACGAGAGGAUUUGUGCAGGCAGGGGAAUGAGAGUACCAUCGAACGGAGGGGGGAAUGAAAGGCGGCCGAGCAAACGGAUGAGCCUCUUAAGGGUUCAGCGCUAAAGGAAAUGAGGGUUUUGCUGCCAAAAAAAGGCCUUGUCAGCAGCAACAGGGUUUCCAAUAAGGGAGCGGAUAAUAAAAACGAGGCUGGCUGUGUCUGUCAUUGAAUGUAUUUUUGAACACAUUGGCUGACGCUGCAAAGGCAGAAGGAGGCAGAGGGCAGGGCCGGACGUGGCGUUAUUGCUCCUCAGUGCCUCUUUCUCCAUCUCUGUGUGUUCCACAUUGAAUGUGGGCUCUUGCAGGGGAGUUUUGUUAAGGGCUCGCCUUGGGAAAGGGAAAGUGCCCCUCCCCACAAAAGCUGAUCUCUCCCCCCCCCCAUCAAGAAGGAGAUGAUGUAGGGCUCAACUUGUGCCUCCAUAAACGCCAUGCUAGUUCACAGCAAGGCCGCUUUUAUGGGGCUGUCCUUGGAGACCCUUCAGAAACCAGUGCAGGAAGUUGUGGCGAUGCACCCAGUGAGAGAAGGUCACUGGGAACCACAGUGUCUGCCUAUGAGUUGCUGGCAAUCACAAGUGGGGAGAGCGGCUAUCACUCCCAGGUCCUCUUUGUGGGCUCUGCCUUGAGACAUCAAACUGACCUAAUGGAGGAAGAGGGUGCUAGACUAGAUGGCCCGCUUCGGCCUGAUCCAGCCCCAGCACUCUUCCUGUGCUCAUUCAUUCUUUCCCUCUUGAGGUCAGCCAAGCUCCCACUUCCAUUCAGUUUCAACAGCAGAUGGGGGGGGGGGAUGUUUGUUUCACUGGAAGGCUAUCAAAGUGAAUGGAGCAGUUGAUAAAAUAAUGUGCAGUCAGCUGGUUUCUACCCACACUGACACACCCCUCUUCGCCCACCAUCUAGUGAAGAAAGAGGCAUUAUCAGAGUUCAAGGACACAUUCCACCCAGCCUAAAAUACCCAAGGAGGAUAUGGAGGAAGAGUAGUGAGGGGCAUUGCCUGGGGUGAGUCCCAGGGGCCUGAUCCGGGGUGGUGUGUCCUCCUGCUUCACUGCUUGAAGCAAAGCAGGAAGUGCUGUCUCGCUCUGCCCCACAGACCUCCCUGCCACCGGGCCUCCUGCCACCACCCCACCUCCAUGCCUCAUUUCACAAGAUCUUGCCAGAAAUCAGUGCUAAUGCCGGUGGCAGAGGCGGUGGGCUGGGUGGGGCGCUCAUAGGGGCAUGGCCUCAGGACCUCUUUCUGUUUGAGGAAACUGCUUCACCCUGCCUCAUGGGUGAGCCAGCCCUUGGCCAGAUAGAGAGGCCUAGAAGGCCACAUUUAGCCCUGGGUCUGAGAUUCUCUACUCUUACCUUGAAGACACAUUCAGUUCCAGCGGCAAAUUGAAACAUGCAUGUUUUACUAGGCUUACAUGGGUGAUGGGAGAAUAUCCUUCCUAUUUUAUUCUCAGAUGCGAGAAGUCAUUUUGUACUGGGUUUUUUAUCCACUAGGUUGUGUACUUGGUAUUCUCUGUUGUAGAGUAUAUUGUGCUGAAACUCACCCUGCAAACUUUGGGUGAAGGGCAGGAUAUAAAUACUGUGGACAAACCCAGAGGACAUUUGCAAGGCAUGAGUUGACUCUCAACUCCUCUCUCGCUAUUUACAUACAGUAUUGUUAUCUACGUUUCCAAAUUGCUCCUCAUCUGAAUUUUGCAGUGGAUUUUGGAGUUCUGAAUCACCUGGGGAAGGGUCAUAGGCCAGUGGUAGAGAAUCUGCUUUGCAUGCAAAAGGUUCCCAGUUUCAAUCCCUGGCGUCCCCAGGUAGGGUUGGGAGAGAACCCUACCUGGAACCCUGGCAAGCCACUGAAUAGAAGUGUGGACAAUGCUGAACUGGAUGGAUCCAUGGUCUAACUCAGCAUAAGACAGCUUCCUACAUUUCUGUGUUAACAGUUGCUCUCCCAUUGUUCCCCAUGGGAGACAAAGGUCACUCACUCUGGGCUAGCUCAGGACUUCAUGGCUGCCCUGUUGAUGACCAUGGAGCUCCCCCAACAUAUCAUCGACCUAACCCAUGUGGCAUGCCAUUCUCUGGGUCUGGUUAUCUCCACCAGGCCAGAAGAGGGUGAUCUGAGAGUGGGGGAAUAUUAACAUCAGCUGCUUUUUUUCAUGGUCAGAUCACCUCUUGAUGAGAUUUAGACUUCCAAUGGCUUUUCCCUUCUGCAGAGUUUGGGAAACCUAUUAGGAUGGUCCACCUAUGGAGGCUAAUGCGUCCAGGUGGUUUGGGGGGAUUUUCCAGCUAAUAUGACUCAUGCUCCUGUUGAAGCUCUGUUCUAAUAGUAGAAUACUUGGAUGGACUGGGCUGUUGAUACAAUGGCCCCUGAACGCCCUCUCCCAAUUGAUAGGGACUGGCUGACUCCUUGGUGUGCACCAGAGCUAAGGGGGAUGAAAGAAGCUUGGAGAUGGCUUGAAAGCAAAUAGAUGAACACUCCAGGUUCCCCAUUCCUGAUGCAACAACCUUGCAGAGUGUAAAAGAGAAAAGGAAGCUUGUUUUCCGUCGUAUGUGGACCAAAGGUGCCCAUUCUACUUUCCCACCUCGCAAAGGUGUUGGAUACAAAAAGAUGAGAUGUAAUUAGUUUCCUGUUGGCUGUUGACAUAUGGUAGCAGGUAACUUCAGAUGCUGGCUAAGUGCGGAGCUAAAGUUUCAAAGGGAAUUAAGGUAAUGGAUAGUCAUGGAGGGGGUGCAGCCUGGUUGCUCCACGGAAAAGGAAACCCAAGAUCCACUGAUUGCAACACUUUUGCCAGGACAGUAGGUAGCUCUUCAUCAUUCUCUCCUGAACAAUUUUCUAGGGACCAUGUGCCACUGGUGAGAGAGACCAGAGGGAAAGAUGGGUGGAGCAAGGACUGAAUGUAAAUUUCACCUUUACAGAUGCUCUGCCAUGAAGUUAGCACUGAGAUUCAAGUCCUAGACCAGCAAAUUAGGACGCCCUGCUGUAAAAAGCAGGCACAAUCAAUUUCGCCUCCACCCAUAGUGAAGAAUUACAAAUGUGACAAUGAACUGACUGACUACUCCACCUGUAGUUCCAGCUACUCUUUCAGAAAUAAUCGUUUCAGAGUGCCGUUUCCCCCCAGAGCAAUUACCUUUUUUCAGGUAGUCUGCAAUAUUACUUUGGUCCAUUAUUUCAAUUGUCGUUGAGUUUCAGACUCAAAAUGUUCUGACCAUUAAUAAAUUGCUUCAAGUAUGCUUUUGAGGGCUACACUUGCCUUGGUUACGAAAAACAGCCGAGAUGAACUUCAAAAUGUGGACAGCUGCUCAUGAGAACAGAUUCCUUGAAAGAUGCAUUUUACUCACACGUUUUUGGAAUGCUAAGAUUCAGGGCAGCAGUCAUCAUUAUUUUCCCCACCCACUGCUCUGAAUGUAAAGAUGGGGGACAACUUUGAUUUGGUUCACAUUUCGGUGCAAAAUUACAUAAUUCAUUACUUCCUGAAAUGAUGUACCAACAGAAACAUUGCUAUCCUUUGAAAUUCUCAGCUCUCCAGCCCAGAAAAGUGUAAAGAAAUAAUGUAUAUCGGGGUAAACGUGCAUAGAAAUACAUAAACUAAUGAAAAUGAUGUACAAAAAAAAAAAAAACAUUUUAUUGGGGAAGUUUCUUGCAAAAAUGUGCACAUUGCAGGAAAUGGGCCAUAAAAUGAUGGUGAAUAUUCGAGAGGACUUUUUUUUUUUUUAAGACAAAGGGUUGUGGAAAUGUGGAGAACUGAACUAGUUUGGUUUUUUGAUAUUCUGCUGCACACUUCACUUGAGGUCCUGUUAGUUUGAGAAUCAAGGUCAGGAGGAAGAAAAGGUAGAGUAUAUAAAAGGAUCCCACUGUGCUCAAAGGAAGCUGCUGGGUACCAAAGCUCACUUUCAAACCUCACAUUUUAAAGAAUGGUAUCUGGACAAUUCAAGCUCCCCAGAUGUCAAUAACUUAGAGCACCGGGUUUUAGUUUUAACAGGAAGGAGACGAACAGACACUUGAAUUUACAAGUUCUCUCGGCUCUCCUUCAGAAUUCCUUGUUAAUGGAUGGCAAGACUUGUUAUUCUAUAUGCUUGAUUAUCUUUAAUGAAGCUUUCCACCAAUUACCCAGAGUGGAUGUGAAGCUCACUGGCCUGUAAUAUUCUGGAUUCUCUCGCCCCCCCCCACCUCCAUUCCCAUAUAACUUUAAAAAAUUCAUGUUAUGUUAGCCACGUCAGAAAUGAGUAGCAUGUUUUUGCUCUGAGAGCAUGCAGUCCUAACAAAAUAAGAAGAGCCAAAGGCCAGGGCCAGCCCAAUACAUUUUGUCACCUGAGGCAAACCACAAAAUUGUGUCUCUUUCUCCCCACCAGGAAAGAAGGUGUGAGUGAAGAUCUAUAUCAGGAGAAAGGGGGAAAUAAAACAAGGAGCAAGGGGGAUCACUUGCCAGCUGAGGCUGUCACCUCACCUUGCCUCAUGGGUGGGCCAGCCUUGCCAAAGGCCCAUCUGGUCCAGCAUCCUGUUUUCACAGUGGCCAGUCAAAUGAAGACAUAGGAAGAUUCACAGAGAACCAGGCUAUCAAUAGCUACUAGCCACUGCAGCUUUGUUCUACCUCCACUGCCAGAGUCAUUAUGCCUCUGAAUACCAGUUGCUGGAAACUGAAGAUGGGCAAUGUGCUGUUGUGAUUCAGUCCAACUUGUUGGCUUCCUAGAGGCAUCUGGUUAGCCACAGUGAGAACAGGAUUGUGGACCUGAUGGGCCAUUGGCCUGAUCCAGCAGGCUCACCUUACCUUCUUAGGCUUGUAGCCAACUAAGUCCAACUCAGAGUAGACCCACUGAAUUUAAUGGACCUAUGUUAAGCACGUUCAAUGGGUCUAUUCUGAGUAGGACUAGCAUGCGACACAACCAUAUAUAAAUCAUAGGAGUCCACAUGCAGCCCCUAGGAGGAAAAAGCCCCGAUGGAAAGAGAAGGUCAAAUCAUCUCAGGAAUGCCCCCUUGAAUCCAUGAAUCCAGGAACAUGGAAAUCUUGGAAUGCAAGGUCCAGGAGUGAUCAGAGCUUGGCUGGGGGAUAUGCUGGGCACAUCUAGUGGGGAUUCUGUAUAGGGCUAGGAAGGGAAUCAGCCAGAACAUGCAAUAAAGGUGGAGCGUGCAUUAACAUAACUAGAAUCUAGAAAUUGUAGCCGACUUAGACCUACUCAAAGUAGACUCAUUUAAAUUAAGGGACCUAAGUUAGUUAGGCCCAUAAACAUCAAUGGAUCUACUGCAAAUAAGACUGGCAUGGGAUAAAACCCCAGCUGCUCACCAAGUGAACCAUUGAAUCAUAGGAUUUUAGGGUUGGAAGGGACAAAAUGGAUCAUCUAGUCUAACCUCCUGCAAUGCAGAAAUAAAGAUGCCAGCUGUCUUGAAAAUAUGUAAGUCCUAGCUAGGCCAGAAGCAGAAGAAUGCCUGCCUGCCUGGUGGGGGCAGGAGCUAUUUGCUGGAACCCGGGAUAAUAAUAGACCUGCUUCAACCUUAUUUCUGCAGCCUUGGCCUGUCUUCUUCAACAAAGCUCCAGAGCCCCUGGUCCUAGCCCUCGUGAAGCCAAUUCCUAUCAGAAGUGCUUUUCUUAAAUGUAAACCAUGACAUUCAUUUGUCCAUAGGAUGCUGGCUAAAGAGGAAACUGCUGCAAGGACUGAUAUUGCGGAAGCUCAAAGGGCAUUUUUGAUGCUCUCCGACAAGCUGCUAACUUUGCAAGAAAGACGACUGUCAGUUCAUAUGAAUCUGCACACAGCAUCUCAAAAGGGCACCAGAGGCUUCAAGUCCAGGAAGUGGGUCUAACAGGUAGAUCAGGGCGGGCACAGUAUCCGCUUCUCCGGCAGAUACUGCUCUGACAGAUAUAUUGCCUUUUCCAGAUUGCCAGCCCAUAGUUCUAUGAUGCUCCUAUGAGCAUUCUGGGCUUUUCAGCUUAGGGAAAUGACAGGUAAGAGGUGACAUGAGAGAAGCUUAUAAAAUUAUGCUUGGCAGGGAGAGAGUGGAUAGAGAAAGGUUUUCCUCCCUCACUCAAUUUGUGGGCAUCCAAGGAAGCUGAAUAUUGGAAGUUUCAGAAGGGAGAAAAAGAAUGGACCUCUUCAUGUAGCACGUAGUUAAACUAUGGAACUCACUCCCACAGGAAGCAGUGAUGGCCACCAACUUAGAUGCCUUUAAAAGAGGACUUGACAAAUUCAAGCAGGAGAGGGCUGCCAAUGGCUGCUAGACAUGAUGGCUGGGCUCUGCCUCCACAGUCAGAGGCAGUGAUGCUGCUGAAUGCUAGCUGCUGGAAACUACAGCUCUUGCACUCGGGUCCUGCUUGUCGGUUUCCCACAUACCUCUGGUUUGCUACUGUGAGAACAGGAUGCUAGGCUAGAUGGGCCACUGGCCUCAUCCAGAAGAGGGCUCUUCUGGUGUCCUUAUAACAGCCAGGAUCCCCCUACAUUCCAACCCACCACCAUGACUUAGAUCCAGAUUGCCAUGUUACUCUCUUACCUGGCUGGUGGGUCGCUGAUACUUCCCAGGAAGGAAGGGAAGGUGACAGAGAGGCAAAUGCACCAGGAGGAACAUUGGGCGGGUUCUGCCACCACACUUGCACCACACCGCCCUUGCUGCUAAUGUGCCCUUCCCAAUAAGUGACAGUGACUCAUCUUGCUGGGAAGCUUGCGGAGAGACUCCCUUCCACCCAGUGAGUCGCUUCUGCUUGGCUCUGUGGGUGGAAAUUUGUGGAUGGUGCCCAGGGCCAGAUUUAGGUUUGAUGAGGCCCUAAGCUACUGAAGGUAAUGGGGCCCUUUAUAUGUCCAGCUGUCCUUUGUCAACAAGAAAUUGUCACUUUUUUGUGUUGAAUAUAUGCUGUAUGGUAAUUUAUGGACCUGAUAGGUAUCUACAGGAUGCGGGUGGCGCUGUGGGUUAAACCACAGAGCCUAGGACUUGCCGAUCAGAAGGUCGGUGGUUCAAAUCCCCGCGACGGGGUGAGCUUCCGUUGCUCGGUCCCAGCUCCUGCCAACUUAGCAGUUCAAAAGCACCUCAAAGUGCAAGUGGAUAAAUAGGUACUACUCCGAUGGGAAGGUAAAUGGCGUUUCCGUGUGCUGCUCUGGUUUCGCCAGAAGCGGCUUAGUCAUGUUGGCCACAUGACCCGGAAAAACAGUCUGCGGACAAAUGUCGGCUCCCUCGGCCAGUAAAGCGAGAUGAGCGCUGCAACCCCAGAGUCGUUCAUGACUUGACUUAACUGUCAGGGGUCCUUUACCUUUUAAUAGGUAUCUAAGGCCAUUUGUACAUGACAAAAUAUGUAUUUUAUCAAAGUAAUUGUUGAACUUGUAUUUUGGAAAUGUACAUCCAGGGUUUUGUUUUUCCUUUAAAUUUUUUGGGGGCCCUAAGCUAUAGCUUGUUUAGCUUAUACGUAAAUCCGGCACUGAUGGUGCCACAGGCCCCUGCAUUAAAAGCAUGUUGCGACUUGAGCACAUUCCUUUAGCAGUACUCCAUCAGCUCUCUUGAAUUCUCUUUUGUUAAGAGGUGAAGCGAGCCCCAGCUUCUUUCUGUUUUCCACAUUCAUCGAAGCCUUUCCUUUUCUUCCAAGCCUUCCUAAACUGGGCUGCAAUCCAAACCUCACUUACCUGGGAGUAAGGGUGGGGGAAGAAAUUGUUCACAUUUUAAGGAGAAGCUACCUAGUUUGCACUUCUCAAAGCAAUACAUAGCCAUCCUACAACAUUCACACUCCUCCAAACUUUGCAUUGCAGUUCUCCGACCAAAAUAAUGUGAACAAAAAGUACAUAUAUUAAGAGAAAGUGUGCAUAAUGAUGAAUUAAUCAAUGAAAAACAUUAGCAGAUGCACUAUAUUAAGGGGAAAUAUUUGCAAAAAUGUAUGUAUUAGUCAAUAAUUCAUGCACAAAUGGUUUUAUUGGGAGAAAUUUGCACUAAAUGUUGAUGAGCUUUCAUGAGGAUUAAAAAACAAAUAAACGGAAAAUAGCUGCAGAAAUGUAGAGAACGGAAUUUUAGGCUGGCAAACGGAGGAACUGAGAAAAACAAAAAUUGACAGAUAUGCCCAUCCCUAUCUGAGAUUAAGGCCUAUUGAAUUUAAUGAGACUUACUUCUGAGAGUAUGGGUUGUAUUACAGCAUUAGUCUGUUUUAUUUUUGCAGAUUUCAAUUCUUGAUGGAUUUUUAAUGUUUUAAUACUGUUCUGAGGAUCAGUAUUAGAGCGGUUUAUAAAUCCUUAUGUAAAAAUAAGCAAAUUUGUGACAUAACACUGCAUCAAACCACCCAAAAAGGGUAGCUGGGCACUCUGGAUUGGAUUAAAUUAUCAGCACUGGAAUCUUUGAAUAGUCUGUCUGAACUGGUGUGAUGACCCAUUUACUCUCCCAGCUCUAUUGUAAAACAGAGCUCUGUCGUAAACAGAGAUAGAUGCAAAGGGAGAGAAUGCUUGAAGCUGAGAGUCGUGUUGCCUAAUUAGGUGAAUGGUGCACUAAUUGUUGGGGUUGCGAGUUGCUGAUGGGUGUGGGCGAGCACACACAUUCUGCCCAGGUGAUUACACUUCAGCUAAAACCCAGGGGAAGAUGUGAUGAGGUAACUCCUCCGAAGGAGCUUCUGUCGGCAGAGUAGCAGAAUUGCAGCUAGGAAGCCACAUCAUGUGCAAUACUGCCCCUUUCCUUGAAAUUAAAGCAAUGUCCAAACAUUUGUUAAAAUAUUCCAAAGCUUGCAGAACAUAUAGCUAAAGAAAAAUAUAUGCAGAGUAUUUGCAUUUGCAUGCUUCUCCAAGCAUGGCCUUGGUUUUUCUUAGUUGAAGAUUACAGCUUCUUCCUUAAACAUUCAAACAAGCUGCAUCUUUCUCUCUUUCCAGUACUUGCAUCCAGCCUUCUCCACAUGCAGCCAGGCCAUGAAGUUCCUUCUUGAAGGUUUCCACCUGCUCCUUCCAGCAGACUACUGCUUAUUGCUUCUUUGGGAGAACAUCAACUUCUGUACCUCUUUCUGUUACAUACACUCACACAGAAACAUUAGAACUCCUCUCCUCUAUUGUAUUGAGAGUGAGAGAGUUAUCUAUCAUUGUCUCUUCAGUGUUCAUGGAGAUGCAGCCAUUACAAGUCCCUCACACACAAAACAAAAUGGAGGAUGCAAUAAGAUGCCUCCCAUGUGACCAGAGUUAACCUAUCACACGAGAGUUCCUGGGGAACAUUCCAGAAUCGAACACACCGCAAUGCAUUCGAGCAACCCCAAUUUAAGUAAAUUAAAUUACGGCUUCUUCCUGCCCUUCAAAGUUCAGGAAGUGCAGGCACCUGAAGAGGCUGCACAGAGUCGGAGGAGUAUUUAACAAAAAAAGAGAAAAGGACAGAGUGCCAAGCCUAGCAUCAUUCUAGAGAAAUUCUAAAGCACCCUGAAAAGGAUUUUUUUAAAAAAAAAAUGGACAUUUCUUUUGCAGGAAAAGAAAACCUAUGGGAAAUGGGAGGACAGAUUUCAGCACUGCACAAGUCCUUAUCCAAUCAACACUAGAUGUCAAGUUGAUGUUUCUUUGUGGAAAUGGACCACUUGCUUCCGCCCUCCCCUCUCCCUUCUGCUGUCCCUGAAGGAAUUAUUUGUGGGUUAGUUUGCUUGUUUUUGACAGAGAGGCCCAUACAAAUCGAUUCAUUAAUUCAGUUACAGCUCUCUGGGUUAGCCUGAAAUUGAUACACUGCCCCGGACUUAGCAUGCUGUGCUAAUCGAUCAAGCAAGUUCAACAUGAGGCAACUGUUACUGCUCAGAAUGGGUUUCUCUGGCGUGUCAAUGUGUAGCAUCCUAUCCCCACCCCAAAUACCCCCCAGGACAAGAAUGCAGCCUAUUUAUGACUUGAUGUUUUUUGACAUUUCACUUGCCUUGCUAAUAAGAUGGGUGAGAUGUCAGGACGGAUUAAAUCAGUGUGCACAGCAAAUCCCCAAAGGCCAAUACUGGGAGAAUUGAAUGUGGUUUAUCUCUCUCUCUCUCUCUCUCUCUCUCUCUGUGUGUGUGUGUGUGUGUGUGUUUUAAAAUAAAACAGAAUUCGCUACCCAAAUCUAACAGCUUGCAAUCACAGCGUUUUGAAAGGCUUGGAGAAAUCAUGCCAUUUGGAAAGAGGCUCUGCUUUUGUACAAAACAAAAACCCCGUGUCUCGGUAGAAAUGCAGUUGGAUCUUUGCUUCAGAGAAAGAAAAGUCAUUCAGGUGCCAGAGGAAAGAGAGGGAGUGGCUAGUCCUCAGCCUCCUCGAGCUCCUAACGUGAUCCAAAGGCUGUAGCUCAGUGGCAGAGGACCUGCUCUUUAUGCCAAAGGUCCACAGGUUCGAUCCCCACCAUCUCCAGAUAGGGAGGGGAAAGUCUCCUAUGUGGAAACCCCUGAGAGCUACUGCCAACCUGUGCAGAUGACAGGUGGGGAAUCUCAGGCCUGGGUCUGAAUGUGGCCCUCAUGUUUCUAUGCCUGGCCCUUGGGCCACAUACACACUGACUUUGCUUCGCACCACCUUGAGGUGUGUUGGCUGCAAUGUGUCCUUCAACAUUAGGCCAAUAUUCUGUCAUCAUUGUCCAACUCUGCCUACAUGUAUAUGAGCUCCUUCUUCCAGUCUUAAGUAACUUUUACACUGUUGCCAAGACUGCAUUUUCUUGCAUUUUCACUUCCUAUUCUGUGAAGAAGAAGAAGAAGAGUUUGGAUUUGAUAUCCCGCUUUAUCACUACCCGAAGGAGUCUCAAAGCGGCUAAUAUUCUCCUUUCCCUUCCUCCCCCACAACAAACACUCUGUGAGGUGAGUGGGGCUGAGAGACUUCAGAGAAGUGUGACUGGCCCAAGGUCACCCAGCAGCUGCAUGUGGAGGAGCGGAGACACGAACCCGGUUCCCCAGAUUAUGAGACUACCGCUCUUAACCACUACACCACACUGGCUCUCAGUGAGUGCUCACUGAAAGGACAGAUUCUGAGGCUGAGGCUCCAAUACUUUGGCCACCUCAUGAGAAGAGAAGACUCCCUGGAAAAGACCCUGAUGUUGGGAAAGAUUGAGGGCACAAGGAGAAGGGGACGACAGAGGAUGAGAUGGUUGGACAGUAUUCUCAAAGCUACCAACAUGAGUUUGACCAAACUGCGGGAAGCAGUGGAAGACAGGAGUGCCUGGCGUGCUCUGGUCUAUGGGGUCACGAAGAGUCAGAUACAACUAAGUGACUAAACAACAACAACAACAUUCUGUAAUGAGUGAGAUAUUAUUAUUAUUAUUAUUAUUAUUAUUAUUAUUAUUAUUAUUAUUAUUAUUAUUUUGCCUUUUCCCAGUAUCUAGUCUCAUUUUGCUGAUGGAAAUUGUAAUCCAACAACAUUUUGAUGCCACCCGGCUGUGGAAGUGUGGCCUUGUGUUACAUAAACUUGCUGUAACAGCAGUUUGUUAACUCUACAGCAGUUUGUUAACUUUUGCAGGUCCUUUAUGUUUAGGAAUUGGUUAAUAAUGGAAAUAGGUCACAAGCUAGAUCUAAGUGUACUUCUUAUUAUUACAUUUAAUAAUCACCUUCUAAACCACCAUCUCAAGGCAAUUUACACAUAAGAUCAUUAAAACAGUUAAAACCACAAAAACAACAAACACCUGUGAAACAAGGCUAAAAGCCUAAAAACAUUCCUUCUUUGCAACCAAAACCAUUUUGCUUUGUUAUGGAGCCACCAUAAAUGGACAAAGCUUCCAGUCACUGUUCCACAUUUUCCAGCACCGACUUGGUCAAAAUCCCAGGAGCAGAGGAGGGAUAAAAAGGCAUUGACUCAGAUGAGAAGAUGGUGAAAUGCAAACAGGGGACACAGAAAGGGCUGAACUCCUCAAUGCCUUCUUUGCCUCAGUCUUCUCCGAUAAAGAAAACAAUGCCCGACCUGAAGAAUUUGGAGCAAAUGAUUCAGCAGAGGAAACACAGCCCAGAAUAACUAAGGAGAUAGUACAAGAAUACUUGGCUAGUUUAGAUGUAUUCAAGUCUCCAGGGCCAGAUGAACUGCAUCCAAGAGUAUUAAAAGAACUGGCAAUUGUGAUCUCAGAACCACUGGCAGUCAUCUUUGAGAAUUCCUGGAGAACAGGCGAAGUCCCGGCAGACUGGAGGAGGGCAAAUGUUGUCCCUAUUUUCAAAAGGGGGGAAAGAGAGGACCCAAAUAAUUACCGCCCAGUCAGUCUGACAUCAAUACCAGGGAAGAUUCUGGAGCAGAUCAUUAAGCAAACAGUCUGUGAGCACCUAGAAAGGAAUGCUGUGAUCACCAAUAGUCAGCAUGGAUUUCUGAAAAAUAAGUCAUGUCUGACUAACCUGAUCUCAUUUUUUGACAGAAUUACAAGCCUGGUAGAUGAAGGGAAUGCAGUGGAUGUAGCCUACCUUGAUUUCAGCAAGGCAUUUGACAAGGUGCCCCAUGAUAUUCUUGUAAAGAAGCUGGUAAAAUGCAGUCUUGACUAUGCUACCACUCAGUGGAUUUGUAACUGGCUGACUGACCGAACCCAAAGGGUGCUCAUCAAUGGUUCCUCUUCAUCCUGGAGAAGAGUGACUAGUGGGGUGCCACAGGGUUCUGUCUUGGGCCCGGUCUUAUUCAACAUCUUUAUCAACGACUUGGAUGAUGGACUCAAGGGCAUCCUGAUCAAAUUUGCAGAUGACACCAAACUGGGAGGGGUGGCUAACACCCCAGAGGACAGGAUCACACUUCAAAACGACCUUGACAGAUUAGAGAACUGGGCAAAAACAAACAAGAUGAAUUUUAACAGGGAGAAAUGUAAAGUAUUGCACUUGGGCAAAAAAAAAUGA